rnacentral:rRNA from 1 species
AACGAACGCUGGCGGCAGGCCUAACACAUGCAAGUCGAGCGCCCCGCAAGGGGAGCGGCGGACGGGUGAGUAACGCGUGGGAACGUGCCCUUUGCUACGGAAUAGCCCCGGGAAACGGGGUGUAAUACCGUAUAGGCCCUACGGGGGAAAGAUUUUUCGGGAAAGGAAGGGCCGGCGUUGGAGUAGUGAGGUGGGGGGGUAAGGGCCUACCAAGCCGACGAUCCAUAGCUGGUUUGAGAGGAUGAGCAGACACACUGGGACUGAGACACGGCCCAGACUCCUACGGGAGGCAGGAGUGCGGAAUCUUAGACAGUGGGCGCAAGCCUGAUCUAGCCAUGCCGCGUGAGCGAUGAAGGCCUUAGGGUUGUAAAGCUCUUUCGUGGGGGAAGAUAAUGACUGUACCCCAAGAAGAAGCCCCGGCUAACUCCGUGCCAGCCGCCGCCGUAA